AUGGCCAGUUCCAUGAUGAGGGAAAUAGAAUCUUUCUGGUCACAAUGUGAUGCGGGUGGUUAUGGCACCAACAUGUGCCCAAUCCAAAGAGUCCCAGAACACAUUCGAGAGGUUGACCGUGUGUCCUACGAACCCAUUGUUAUAUCAUUUGGCCCGUAUCACCAUGGAGGCCAUCACUUUCAAUAUAUGGAGAAGAAAAUAUGGGAACAUUUAGACAGGGUACUAAAACUGAACCGUAAUAAAGCUCUGAAUGAUUACAUUAAAGCAAUAGCCAAACUAGAGAAGCAAGCAAGGAAAUGCUAG
rnacentral:rRNA from 1 species